rnacentral:rRNA from 1 species
UACAGAGGGUGCGAGCGUUGUCCGGAAUCACUGGGCGUAAAGGGCGCGUAGGUGGUGGCUUAAGCGUGCGGUGAAAGCUCGGAGCUCAACUCCGAGUCGGCCGUGCGAACUGGGCUCACUGGAGCAUAGUAGAGGCAGGUGGAAUUCCGGGUGUAGCGGUGGAAUGCGUAGAGAUCAGGAGGAACACCAAUAGCGAAGGCAGCUCGCUGGGACGUUACUGACACUGAGGCGCGAAAGCGUGGGGAGCGAACAGG